ACUGUGGGCCGCGGUCGGUUGAAAGUUCCUUCUUCUAGCCUUUGUGGUAGGGAGAUAGGAUAUUGCCGAUAGAGAGGAGGAACACGAAGUCACCAGGGCCCAGGUUAGAGUGUUGUGUUAGAGUGUCGUAGAGGGUUAUGGAACCCUUGAGUUAGUGUAGCACCGAUAUACGGUGUUACAAGUUAGAUCGAGUCGUAGUUACUCAUAGUCUUAUUAUUGUGAUUGUGUUUGUGGUUGAUUGAUUUGCUUGCAGGUUAUG
rnacentral:lncRNA from 1 species